rnacentral:lncRNA from 1 species
AUUCCCACAAACCCUGCUGACUUGACCCCAUUGGCCCAGACCCCUGUUCCCUGCCACUGGAUGAGGGCUCCUGCACUGCCUACACCCUGCGCUGGUACCAUCGGGCUGUGACAGGCAGCACAGAGGCCUGUCACCCUUUUGUCUAUGGUGGCUGUGGAGGGAAUGCCAACCGUUUUGGGACCCGUGAGGCCUGCGAGCGCCGCUGCCCACCCCGGGUGGUCCAGAGCCAGGGGACAGGUACUGCCCAGGACUGAGGCCCAGAUAAUGAGCUGAGAUUCAGCAUCCCCUGGAGGAGUCGGGGUCUCAGCAGAACCCCACUGUCCCUCCCCUUGGUGCUAGAGGCUUGUGUGCACGUGAGCGUGCGUGUGCACGUCCGUUAUUUCAGUGACUUGGUCCCGUGGGUCUAGCCUUCCCCCCUGUGGACAAACCCCCAUUGUGGCUCCUGCCACCCUGGCAGAUGACUCACUGUGGGGGGGUGGCUGUGGGCAGUGAGCGGAUGUGACUGGCGUCUGACCCGCCCCUUGACCCAAGCCUGUGAUGACAUGGUGCUGAUUCUGGGGGGCAUUAAAGCUGCUGUUUUAAAAGGC